rnacentral:rRNA from 1 species
GAUUAUGGCUCAGGAUGAACGCUGGCGGCGCGCCUAACACAUGCAAGUCGAACGGCACCUAUCUUCGGAUAGAAGCGAGUGGCGAACGGCUGAGUAACACGUGGAGAACCUGCCCCCUCCCCCGGGAUAGCCGCCCGAAAGGACGGGUAAUACCGGAUACCCCGGGGUGCCGCAUGGCACCCCGGCUAAAGCCCCGACGGGAGGGGAUGGCUCCGCGGCCCAUCAGGUAGACGGCGGGGUGACGGCCCACCGUGCCGACAACGGGUAGCCGGGUUG